GAUCAAGUGACUAAGUGCACAUGGUGGAUGCCUUGGCGAUCACAGGCGAAGAAGGACGUAAUAGCUUGCGAAAAGCUGCGGGGAGUUGGCAAAUGAGCAUUGAUCCGCAGAUAUCCGAAUGGGGAAACCCACCUCUUUUUAGGAGGUAUCCUUAUCUGAAUACAUAGGGUGAGGAGGCGAACCGAGUGAACUGAAACAUCUAAGUAACUCGAGGAGAAGAAAUCAACCGAGAUUCUGAAAGUAGUGGCGAACGAAAUUGGAGCAGCCGCAACGAGAUAGUAAUUGUAGUAGUCGAACUUACUGGGAAGUAAGACCGUAGAGGGUGAUAGUCCUGUAGACGAAACUAUAGUUAUGGUACUAGGCGUUGCAACAAGUAGGGCGGGACACGUGUAAUCCUGUUCGAAGAUGGGGGGACCAUCCUCCAAGGCUAAAUACUCGUGAUCGACCGAUAGUGAACCAGUACCGUGAGGGAAAGGCGAAAAGAACCCCGGGAGGGGAGUGAAAUAGAACCUGAAACCGUGUGCAUACAAACAGUCGGAGCCCUAGACUUAAGGGUCCUGCAAUUUAGGGGUUCUUUGUGAUGCCUUAAGGCAUCACUAAAGAUAUUUCAAAGUAAAUAGAAAGCGAUUUAUUUAAUAAGGAAACUAAAAGAAGUGAGGAAUGCCUUAAGGCAUCACUAAAGAUAUUCCAAAGUAAAUAGAAAGCGAUUUAUUUAAUAAGGAAACUAAAAGAAGUGAGGAAUGCCUUAAGGCAUCACUAAAGAUAUUCCAAAGUAAAUAGAAAGCGAUGUAAUUAACAAAUUUAGUAGGGUCUUUAAGUCUAGGGUGACGGCGUACCUUUUGUAUAAUGGGUCAGCGACUUACAUUCAGUGGCAAGCUUAACCGAAUAGGGUAGGCGUCAGAAAGCAGGUCCGAAUAGGGCGUCUAUAGUCGCUGGGUGUAGACCCGAAACCAGAUGAUCUAUCCAUGGCCAGGUUGAAGGUGCCGUAACAGGUACUGGAGGACCCAACCCACUAAUGUUGAAAAAUUAGGGGAUGAGCUGUGGAUAGGGGUGAAAGGCUAAACAAAUCUGGAAAUAGCUGGUUCUCUCCGAAAACUAUUUAGGUAGUGCCUCAUGAAUAACUGUUGGGGGUAGAGCACUGUUAUGGCUAGGGGGUCAUGGCGACUUACCAAACCAUGGCAAACUCCGAAUACUGACAAGUUCGAUCAUGGGAGACAGAGCACUGGGUGCUAACGUCCAGACUCAAGAGGGAAACAACCCAGACCGCCAGCUAAGGUCCCUAAAAUUGGCUAAGUGGGAAACGAAGUGGGAAGGCAUAGACAGUCAGGAGGUUGGCUUAGAAGCAGCCACCCUUUAAAGAAAGCGUAAUAGCUCACUGAUCGAGUCGUCCUGCGCGGAAGAUGUAACGGGGCUAAGCCAGUUACCGAAGCUGCGGAUGCAUCCGCUCUUUUAAGUUUUUUGAAAAAAAAGGAAUAAAGGUGAGAUUAACCUUAAUUGAAUUUUCAGAAGAUUUAAGAGAGCGGAUGCGUGGUAGGAGAGCGUUCUGUAAGCCAGAGAAGGUGAAUCGAGAGGUUUGCUGGAGGUAUCAGAAGUGCGAAUGCUGACAUGAGUAGCGAUAAAGGGAGUGAAAAGCUCCCUCGCCGUAAGUCCAAGGAUUCCUGCGCAACGUUCAUCGGCGCAGGGUUAGUCGGCCCCUAAGGUGAGGCAGAGAUGCGUAGCUGAUGGGAAGUGGGUUAAUAUUCCUACACCGGCUUGUGAUGUGAAGGGGGGACGGAUUGCGGAAUGUGUACGGGCUGUUGGAUAUGCUCGGUAUUGUAGCCAAGAAGUUGAUUAGGCAAAUCCGGUCAAAGGAUUCAAGGCUAUGAUUCGCAGAAGACUUAAGGUCUUUGAAGUCACAGGAAGUGGUUCCAGGAAAAGCCUCUAAGCGCUAAAUUACAAGUUGACCGUACCGCAAACCGACACAGGUGGACGGGAUGAAUAUUCCAAGGCGCUUGAGAGAACUCAGGAGAAGGAACUCGGCAAAUUGAUACCGUAACUUCGGGAGAAGGUAUGCCUUUGUAUGGUGAGUAGCCAGAAGAGGCCGCAGAGAAUAGGUGGCUGCGACUGUUUAUUAAAAACAUAGCACUCUGCAAACACGAAAGUGGAAGUAUAGGGUGUGACGCCUGCCCGGUGCUGGAAGGUUAAUUGAUGUGGUGAGAGCUAUUGAUCGAAGCCCCAGUAAACGGCGGCCGUAACUAUAACGGUCCUAAGGUAGCGAAAUUCCUUGUCGGGUAAGUUCCGACCUGCACGAAUGGCGUAACGAUGGCCACACUGUCUCCUCCUGAGACUCAGCGAAGUUGAAGUGUUUGUGAUGAUGCAAUCUCCCCGCGGCUAGACGGAAAGACCCCAUGAACCUUUACUGUAGCUUUACAUUGGAUCGUGAACCGGCCUGUGUAGGAUAGGUGGGAGGCGAAGAAGGAGGUACGCUAGUACUUUUGGAGCCGUCCUUGAAAUACCACCCUGGUUUGUUUGUGGUUCUAACCUUGGCCCAUUAUCUGGGUUGGGGACAGUGUAUGGUGGGCAGUUUGACUGGGGCGGUCUCCUCCCAAAGUGUAACGGAGGAGUUCGAAGGUACGCUAGGUACGGUCGGAAAUCGUGCUGAUAGUGCAUUGGCAAAAGCGUGCUUGACUGUGAGACAGACAAGUCGAACAGGUGCGAAAGCAGGACAAAGUGAUCCGGUGGUUCUGAAUGGAAGGGCCAUCGCUCAACGGAUAAAAGGUACUCUGGGGAUAACAGGCUGAUACCGCCCAAGAGUUCAUAUCGACGGCGGUGUUUGGCACCUCGAUGUCGGCUCAUCUCAUCCUGGGGCUGUAGCCGGUCCCAAGGGUAUGGCUGUUCGCCAUUUAAAGAGGUACGUGAGCUGGGUUUAAAACGUCGUGAGACAGUUUGGUCCCUAUCUGCCGUGGGCGUUGGAUACUUGACGGAGGCUGCUCCUAGUACGAGAGGACCGGAGUGGACGUACCGCUGGUGUAUCGGUUGUCAUGCCAAUGGCAUUGCCGAGUAGCUACGUACGGAAGAGAUAACCGCUGAAGGCAUCUAAGCGGGAAACUCGUCUGAAGAUAAGGUAUCCCUGAGCGUAAAGCUCCUUUGAAGGGUCGUUCGAGACUAGAACGUUGAUAGGCUGGGUGUGAAAGUGCAGUAAUGCAUGUAGCUAACCAGUACUAAUUGCCCGAGAGGCUUGAUCCU
rnacentral:rRNA from 1 species